UACGGAGGGUGCAAGCGUUAUCCGGAUUCACUGGGUUUAAAGGGUGCGUAGGGGGGCAUUUAAGUCAGUGGUGAAAUCUCUGGGCUUAACCCAGAAACUGCCGUUGAUACUAUCUGUCUUGAAUAUAGUGGAGGUGAGCGGAAUAUGUCAUGUAGCGGUGAAAUGCGCAGAUAUCGGGAAGAACACCCGUGGCGAAGGCGGCUCUCUGGGACGGUACUGACGCUGAGACGCGAAAGCGUGGGGAGCGAACAGG
rnacentral:rRNA from 1 species